rnacentral:lncRNA from 1 species
UUCACUCACAUUCACUGAUAAGAAGGAGGAGGAGAUACUCACCCUUAACACAACUUCACACCCUCUCAAUUAUCUCAAUUUAUUACACAGAAAGAACACUACACAUGGAAAAUGAGGUAGAUGAGAGAGAGAGUAGUAGAGAGGAGAGACGCUAAAAAAGAGGAAAAGAGAUCUAGGUUUUUGUCUUUUUCACCUUCAUCCACGCCCACACACGAAAAACACACGCACACAACGCACAUAGUGAAAACAACAAAAAAAUGAGCAAAAAUGGCGUGAGAAUCGAAGGAGAAAACAGAAUUUGGGUUUCUGGUUAGUGUUCCGGCGACCCCUUUACCGUAAUCUCAUCGUUCUCUUUUGAUUUAUGGGUUCAUCUGUUUUUGCGUUUCAUCGUCGAAACCGGGUUUCCAACUUGUCGAAUUGCUUAGAUUUGGUUUUAUUUUUAUUCUUGGGUUUUUAAGAUUCGAAUUUCAUCUUUAUAUUUGGGGAUUUUCUGUUGCCUUUCAGAGUUGUUGAUUCAGAUGUUUAUAAUUAAGUUUGGUUUCCCGAAUUAAAAUUUGUUCGGAUUGGGAUUGGCGAUAUCGAGUUGGAUCUUUGUCAUUGUUGAAGCUCGAAGUCGAGGUUCUCGAGCGUGGUUCUAUCUCCGAUAUAUUGAAAGUGACACUUGUGGUCCAAUUCUAUCUUCUCUUUAAUUUUUUAUGUGAAUAUGAAUGAUUUGUUAUUUGAUAUGUUUGAAUCUUUGUUUUUGUGUUGGUUGAUGUUGGAUUUGAAUGUGGAAACUUGGAUUAGUAAUCGAAGAAUUGAUUAAUUAUUUUGAGAAUGAAUGUGGGAAGGGAUUGAUCUUGAUAAAAGUAAAUUUGGAUAAUUUUUAAUUCAUUGAUGAUGUUGAAAUGUGAUAAGAAUUAUGAUAGGUCGAGUUGGAUAGGAAAAUAGUAGGUUCGGAUAAGAAAAUUUAGAACUUUUGGAUUGUUGAAUGUUGAAAAUGUUUGUUGAAUGGUUUUAUUUUAUGAAUUUAGAUCGAUUGUAUUCAUUCGUCGUGGAAAGCCCCGAGGUCACAUUUGUAUUCAUUCACCGGGAAAUGCCCCGACGUAUCAUGUACUCGGAGGAUGCCUGUGAUGAAGGCCCGAAGCAUCGAGUAAGG